AUGGUUUCUUGGGGGCGGUUCUUCAAACAGUGGUUAGAGUGGUUUGCCGGGCUCCAAGGACAGCAUGGAUGGUGGCGAUGGGGCCGUCGCUCGCCGUCGGUCAUGGAGUUCGGUGCUCGGGAUUCUCGGGGAGGCGCGAGCUCGGGUCGCGGCGGCAAUGGCGCGAGGUCAGGUGGAGAAGGCCGCGGUCGGGCCAUGGCGGCCAUGGAGUGGAGGCUGCCCGCCAUGGAUGAGGCGCCGGUGGUGGCCCCGGUGCGCCAGCAGGUCCAUGCCAGCGACCGUCUUGCGGUCAGGACCUCUUCUUUUGAACGUUUGACCGGGCGGGCUUCCACGAGGCAGGGACAUGAUCAGGUUCAGCCUGGCGCAGCUGGGGCGGGGCCUAGAGAACUUUCCCCAGAUGCUUUGCCUUUGGAUGAGGCCGCUGAUCGCGGUCCAGCUCAUGCGGAGGAUUCGGUUGAUGCGGGGAUAGAGGACCAACAGGCAGUUCGCGCGCCCAUCCCAAGGCCACAGCUGGCUUCGAUUCUGGUGGUUCCUGAGGUGCCCCAGAACGUGGCCUCCGUCUCGGAUCCCCAGGCAUCGGUGGUAGGACCGGACGCAGGUUUUGGCACGUUCCCAAGUUCAAACCUAGAUGAAGUGACCAAGGCUGUUUUGGCGGAGCGCGAGCCUAUCCAGAGUUCUCUGCCUUUGCAGGCAGGCCGAACUGCAGUCUUGGCGGUUCCAGAAGUGGACAGUGGGCCAUAG
rnacentral:rRNA from 1 species